GGCCUAAUACAUGCAAGUCGAACGGUGUCUUCGGACAUAGUGGCGCACGGGUGCGUAACACGUAUGCAACCUACCUUACAUUGGGGGAUAGCCUUUCGAAAGGGAGAUUAAUACCUAAUGGUAUAUUUAGCUGGCAUCGGUUAGAUAUUAAAGAUUUAUUGGUAUAAGAUGGGCAUGCGUCCAAUUAGUUAGUUGGUGAGGUAAUGGCUCACCAAGACGAUGAUUGGUAGGGGAACUGAGAGGUCAAUCCCCCACACUGGCACUGAGAUACGGGCCAGACUCCUACGGGAGGCAGCAGUAGGGAAUAUUGGGCAAUGGACGCAAGUCUGACCCAGCCAUGCCGCGUGCAGGAUGAAGGCGUUAUGCGUUGUAAACUGC
rnacentral:rRNA from 1 species